UUUUUUUAUUUUUUAUUGGAGUUCAAUUUGCCAACAUAUAGCAUAACACCCAGUGCUCAUCCCAUCAGCCUUCUGAUUUAAGCGCUACUUUCAUCUAAAAAAUGCCUUCACAGAAACAUUUAGAUUGGCUUUUGAUUGAAUAUCCGGUUACUGUGGUCCAGAUAAGUCAACACAUAAAAUUAACCAUAACAAUCUCUAACAAUUCAAAAUGAAAAUUCUAGAUAACAUCACCAUAAUUAAGAGGGUGGGGGAGGGGUAAGUAGGGAAAAAGAAAGAAUAAGGAAAGUGGAAGCAUGCUAAUGUGUUUGUCUUAUUCAGAAGGAAAAUCGUGAUAGUAAUACAUUAAAGAAAUUAUUAGGGAAGAUAACUAAAAAUAUCUGUCUUGAUUUAUUAAUAAUAGAAUGCAUAUAUUUCAAACCAACAGAAUAAAAUUCAAUUUAAUGGGAGGCAGGAAAAGAAAAAAGGAAGAAAAUAUAAAAGUUUAGUAAUUAUAAUAUACAGUAAAAAUAAAUUCAUAUAUAAUAUGAACCUUAGUUUCAACAAAAGUAAACUCACUACUCAAAAGACAGACUAUUUGAUAUUAUUUUUGAAGAUUUAUCAAAUGUAUUUCUUAUAAGUGAUUGGUAGAAUUUAUGUAUACCAACAGCUAAAUAAAUUUUUGGGGAAAAAAAGAGUCAAGAAAGAGUAUCCAUGUUAGAGACAUUAAGGCCUAUUCUACACCACAAUAACAAAUCAGGUGCAUUGAGCAUUGAUAUUAAGGAGCAAAUAAACCAAUGGAACAGAACUGAGCACUCAGAAAUAGACUCAGGUAUAUAUGGCAAUUUGUUAAGUAAUAAUAAAUGGACAUGGGUUGAUUUUCUUGGAUUAUGUGGGAAAGCCAGUUUACUAUAUGAUGAAAAAUAAAGUUGGAUCUCUACUUCAGACCAUAUGCAAGGAUGAAUUACAGAAAAAUUAAAGGUAAAAUUAUAAAGUUAAUAGAAACUCAUACCUGUGUGACCUGUGAGGAAGGACAUGUUAAAACUCUAAAAGUGGACACCACACAGAGGAAAAUAUUACAUUUGACUACAUCAAAAUUAGAGAUUUCAUAGACAAAAUGCAAAUGACAAACUGGGAAAAGAUAGUUGCAAUAUUUAAAGAUGGUUAAGAGAUUACCAUCGACAACACUCAUAAAUUCCUUCAAAAUCUACAAAAAAAGAAGAGGAAAUCCAAAAGAAAAAUGAACACAUAAUAUACACUGGAAUUUUCAGAGGAGGAAACCUAAGUGGUUAACCAGCAAAAAAAGGAAAAAGAAGUAAAGAAAAAGCCUAAAUUUACAUUGAAUUGCAAGCUGUCAUAGAUGUCCCCAUCAGAUUGGCAAAAAUGAAAAAGUCAAGAAACACCAAGUGUGGGCAAAGAUAUGGGAAGAUACCAAGCAAUCCUCUUGCACUGCUGAUGGGAAAGAAUAAUAGAAGAGCUAAACUGGAAGCACUCUGUCUGGUAAGACUUUGAUACUUGAUCAGUUCUAGGAUGCAUGUGUAUUAUGUUCUAUGAACUGAGAGGGAGGUGACUGCAGAGAACUGUAUGUCCAUCCAAAUGAUACCUACUGGUGUUUAAAUUCAUUGUGAUCUAAUUUAACUCAUCAUCAUGCCCUACCCUCUCACUCUGCCUCUACUCUGUUUCUUGCACUGAAGUUCCUGCCCGGUUAAUGGUGUCACCUUCUACACAGUCACCUAAGAAGGUAACUUGAGUCAACUUGUACUCUUCCCAUUCUCACUAUCAUUCCUCUGUCAGCUCCCCCAUCUGAUGAUUCUACUUCUAAAGUGUCUCCCAUGGUCUGGAGUCCCUCCACUUCUGUCCACCCACAAAUGUAAUGUGAGAUCCAGUUACUCCCCUUUAAAUUACUCUGGCAGCCUCUAUUAAUCCUGCACCCUCCCUUGUUCUCUCCUAAUCACACUGCACACCAGCUACUAUAGUGAUCAUUCUAAAAUGCAAAUAGGUUCACAGAACUCCUCUCCUUAACAAUCUUUCAGCAGCUUCCCAAAGUUCAAGUCCUUGAAGUUGGAAUACUUUCUUCACCAUCUGGCUCCUGCCUCUCUCUAGCCCCACUGCUUUCUGCUCUUCCACACUCAACCUGUGACCCUGAAACACUAACCUGGUAGCACCAUAUUCUCUCCUCUUGCCCUGGAAGCUCCAGGGUUGACCAAUUAAAAGGAAAUUUGAUUACUGAAGUAAUUAUAACAGAUAUCAAAAGAAACCUACAUUUUUACUAUAUGCCGUUUUAUAUUAUUGCAAUCUGGAUGCUUUACCCAGAUUUAGCAAUUACUUAUAUUUAGUCCCAUUUGCUUUGUCUCCAUGAUUCUCUCUGUAUUUUUUUUAAGAUUUUAUUUAUUUAUUCAUGAGAGAUACAGAGAGGGAGGCAGUGACAUAGGCAGAUGCAGAAGCAGGCUCCCGAUGGGGAGCCAGAUGUAGGACUCGAUCCCAGGACCCCGGGAUCAUGACCUGGCCAAAGGCAGACACUCAACUACUGAGCCACCCAGGAGUCCCUCUCUGUAUUUUUUUCAUGUCACUUUUUCUGAACUAUUUGCAAGUAUACUGGAGACAUCAUGCCCCUUUAUCCCUAAAUAUCUCAGACUAUAUUUUCUAACAAGGACAUUCUCUCACACAAUCAUUUACAAUUAUCUAAAUCUGGAAAUUUAACAUUGAUAAGAUACUAUUAUCUAAUCCACAGUCCAUUUUCAAAUGUUAUCAAUUGUCCUCAAAACCUUGAGAUACUUGAUUUUUGCCAGUUUGAAACCCAAUCCAAAACCAAUCUAGUUGCUAUGUCUCUUUGAUCACCUACUCAGUAUUUUGUUGUCUUUCCUGACUUUGAUGUGUUUUAAUUGUUCAGGCCAAUUGUUUUGUAAAACACUCCCCCAACUUGUGUUUAUCUCAUGUCCUUAUGAGUAGAUUGACAUUUUACAUUUUUGGCAGAAAUACCACUGCCAUGACAUGGUAUCCUUCUCAGUGCAUCCCAUCAGGAGGUACUGUUUGAUCCAGUACUAGUGAUAUCAACUUUAUUUAUUAUUUGGUUAAGUGGCAACUGCCAGAUUUCUGCACUUUAAAGUUAGUACUGAGCCAUCUUAUUUUUGCUUUAAACAUAAAUAUGCACUCAUUCACCAAUGUUUCAUUCAGGCCAAGGCUUUUUCUUUGAGAAUCGGUCUGCUAACUGGCUCUUUAAACCCUUUCCCAAGCAUUUCCUAGAAUGCACACUUUCAAUUUCAAUUUCUUUAAAGACCAAGAACUGAAAGCCACUUUCAAAGCAAUCUGAGUGCUGAUUUAUUCUAGAGUUUGUAUUUUCCCAUAAGCAAAUUGACUUUAUCCAUUUUUCCCCAAAGUUUUCUACUCAUGGUAACAAUUUUCUUUUCACACUCAAAUUCACUGUAAAUACAAUUUUUAAUUAAUUUAUAUAAUUCCAAUAACAGGUACAAUUGGUACAAGCAGUUUUGGGAACAAAUGCAACUGACUGAUAUUGAUAAGCAUACAACUCAACUAAUAGAAAUAAAAGCUAGGGGUAUUCCUAUCCACGGGCAUUUAGAAUGCUGUGAGCGUUUGUCAGUAUAUUUUUCAGACAGAAUGGAGGGUGUGGGUUAAUCUAGAAAGGUAGUUAAGUAGAAAAUCAGUUAACAGAGCUUUAGAUGGAAAUAAAACUUCCCAAAAUUGAGGGACAUGAAUUUUCAGAUUGAAAAAUCCCAAGUGCCCAGCAAAAUAAAUUCAAUCUAUCAUUGAGAAAUGUCACUCUGCCAGGAUAAAAAGAAAAUCCUAAAAGAACUCAGAGAGGGGAAAAAAAAAUCAAUAUUCAUAUAUAUAGCAAAGAAAGUCAUAAUUGCAUCGGAUUUUUCAACAGCCUUCAAAAUUCUGACAGAAAAUUAUUUUCAAUAGAGACCUUUAUACAAAGACAAACUAUGAACCAAAUAUGAGGAAAGCCCAGUGAUAUAGUUAUUAUGCAAGAUCUUCCAAACAAUCUUUCUUAUAGAGGUAGUGAAGAAUAUACAAGGAACACAAUAACACAAAGGAAGACUCAGGAACAAGGAAACACAGGGCCCAACCCACAAGUGUGGCCAAGUAUCAGCUGUCCAGAUUAAAGAAGGAGGAUAAUAGGAGAAGCAGGAGAGAAGUCUCUGGUGGGGGAGUGAGAGGAAAUAAAACAUGGAACUGAUUACCUGAUGUCUUUGAACAUUUGAAAUAUUAUUGAUAUGCAUUUGACAGAUUUUAGCAGCAAAGAGAAUAAAGAGCAAUAAGUACCUUGAAAACUAAGCAAAUGACAAAUAUUGAAGAACUUUACCAACUAGAAAAAAAAGCAGUUGAGCAAAAAAAAAAAAAAAAAAAA
rnacentral:lncRNA from 1 species